rnacentral:lncRNA from 1 species
CACAAGAGCUGGGGGCAGUGGGGAAACCAGGAAGUCUGCAGGCACGACGGUCAGGGGAGGAGCUUUUUUAACAAAUCUAAGGGUGCAGGGAUCACUUUCACCUAGCAAGCUGCUCAGCCUUGUUUCUUUUGUUCCAGGCAGGCCAGCUCUAUUCGAGAGGAUACAGGCAAGCCGGGGAGAUGAAGGUGCAGGUCCUAAAUCCACCGAAGGUCGAGUGAUAGGUGGCCAGUCCCACAGACCUGCACACAGCUGGGCUCCGCUCUCCCUCCUUCCUCCACGCCACAGGGCUGGAAGGAAUCCAGGGAGCCCUUCCGAAAAUUCCUUUAGAGAACUGACCUCAUUUGAAGCGGACACUGAGCCUGGAGAAGCCUUUUACUUCUGGCCGGGUGAGUGUAAGUCGAAAUAAAGGCAAAGUCGUGCAUUUGAAGAUAAGUGUGAUAGUCCCCAGCACAGAGUGAGACCAUGGCAACACACAAGGACACAGGAGCUCCUGUCUCAUGACCAGAAAACAAAACCCAGCCAUGGUGAGUCAGGAGCACCGUGGGACAGAGAGUUCUCCUCGGUUUGGGUCAGGAUGCCUGAGCUCAGCAAGGAUUUUUUGACCUUCUACACUGAGUUCAGCAGAGCCAGUGAGAUGACAUUCUCACAUACUGAUUAUGCAUAGCGGGCUCAAGGGAACCACAGCUUUCUGGCAGCUGGCUCUGAUCAUCCUACGCAGCUUUCCUCAGAUGUCCCACACUCCUGGCUUCUCCAGCUCUCUGGGGUUUCCAGUCCAGGUUUGCCUUCACUCUCAGAGCUUCACACACUGCCCCCCAGAGCCACACUGCCUGGCUUCCAGGGGAAUGAAUCCCAGGAGGCCAGUUUCCCAGAUGACCUUUUUUUUUCCGAAUAAAAAAACAGUUUUGUUGAGGUAUAAUUAACAUACAAUAAAUUGGACAUAUUCAAAGUAUACAAUUUGGUUUUGACAAAUGUAUAUAACUGUGGAAACAUCACAC